rnacentral:rRNA from 1 species
GGGACACGUGGUAUCCUGUCUGAAUAUGGGGGGACCAUCCUCCAAGGCUAAAUACUCCUGACUGACCGAUAGUGAACCAGUACCGUGAGGGAAAGGCGAAAAGAACCCCGGCGAGGGGAGUGAAAAAGAACCUGAAACCGUGUACGUACAAGCAGUGGGAGCACGCUUAGGCGUGUGACUGCGUACCUUUUGUAUAAUGGGUCAGCGACUUAUAUUCUGUAGCAAGGUUAACCGAAUAGGGGAGCCGAAGGGAAACCGAGUCUUAACUGGGCGUUAAGUUGCAGGGUAUAGACCCGAAACCCGGUGAUCUAGCCAUGGGCAGGUUGAAGGUUGGGUAACACUAACUGGAGGACCGAACCGACUAAUGUUGAAAAAUUAGCGGAUGACUUGUGGCUGGGGGUGAAAGGCCAAUCAAACCGGGAGAUAGCUGGUUCUCCCCGAAAGCUAUUUAGGUAGCGCCUCGUGAAUUCAUCUCCGGGGGUAGAGCACUGUUUCGGCAAGGGGGUCAUCCCGACUUACCAACCCGAUGCAAACUGCGAAUACCGGAGAAUGUUAUCACGGGAGACACACGGCGGGUGCUAACGUCCGUCGUGAAGAGGGAAACAACCCAGACCGCCAGCUAAGGUCCCAAAGUCAUGGUUAAGUGGGAAACGAUGUGGGAAGGCCCAGACAGCCAGGAUGUUGGCUUAGAAGCAGCCAUCAUUUAAAGAAAGCGUAAUAGCUCACUGGUCGAGUCGGCCUGCGCGGAAGAUGUAACGGGGCUAAACCAUGCACCGAAGCUGCGGCAGCGACGCUUAUGCGUUGUUGGGUAGGGGAGCGUUCUGUAAGCCUGCGAAGGUGUGCUGUGAGGCAUGCUGGAGGUAUCAGAAGUGCGAAUGCUGACAUAAGUAACGAUAAAGCGGGUGAAAAGCCCGCUCGCCGGAAGACCAAGGGUUCCUGUCCAACGUUAAUCGGGGCAGGGUGAGUCGACCCCUAAGGCGAGGCCGAAAGGCGUAGUCGAUGGGAAACAGGUUAAUAUUCCUGUACUUGGUGUUACUGCGAAGGGGGGACGGAGAAGGCUAUGUUGGCCGGGCGACGGUUGUCCCGGUUUAAGCGUGUAGGCUGGUUUUCCAGGCAAAUCCGGAAAAUCAAGGCUGAGGCGUGAUGACGAGGCACUACGGUGCUGAAGCAACAAAUGCCCUGCUUCCAGGAAAAGCCUCUAAGCAUCAGGUAACAUCAAAUCGUACCCCAAACCGACACAGGUGGUCAGGUAGAGAAUACCAAGGCGCUUGAGAGAACUCGGGUGAAGGAACUAGGCAAAAUGGUGCCGUAACUUCGGGAGAAGGCACGCUGAUAUGUAGGUGAAGUCCCUCGCGGAUGAAGCUGAAAUCAGUCGAAGAUACCAGCUGGCUGCAACUGUUUAUUAAAAACACAGCACUGUGCAAACACGAAAGUGGACGUAUACGGUGUGACGCCUGCCCGGUGCCGGAAGGUUAAUUGAUGGGGUCAGCGCAAGCGAAGCUCUUGAUCGAAGCCCCGGUAAACGGCGGCCGUAACUAUAACGGUCCUAAGGUAGCGAAAUUCCUUGUCGGGUAAGUUCCGACCUGCACGAAUGGCGUAAUGAUGGCCAGGCUGUCUCCACCCGAGACUCAGUGAAAUUGAACUCGCUGUGAAGAUGCAGUGUACCCGCGGCAAGACGGAAAGACCCCGUGAACCUUUACUAUAGCUUGACACUGAACAUUGAGCCUUGAUGUGUAGGAUAGGUGGGAGGCUUUGAAGUGUGGACGCCAGUCUGCAUGGAGCCGACCUUGAAAUACCACCCUUUAAUGUUUGAUGUUCUAACGUUGACCCGUGAUCCGGGUUGCGGACAGUGUCUGGUGGGUAGUUUGACUGGGGCGGUCUCCUCCUAAAGAGUAACGGAGGAGCACGAAGGUUGGCUAAUCCUGGUCGGACAUCAGGAGGUUAGUGCAAUGGCAUAAGCCAGCUUGACUGCGAGCGUGACGGCGCGAGCAGGUGCGAAAGCAGGUCAUAGUGAUCCGGUGGUUCUGAAUGGAAGGGCCAUCGCUCAACGGAUAAAAGGUACUCCGGGGAUAACAGGCUGAUACCGCCCAAGAGUUCAUAUCGACGGCGGUGUUUGGCACCUCGAUGUCGGCUCAUCACAUCCUGGGGCUGAAGUAGGUCCCAAGGGUAUGGCUGUUCGCCAUUUAAAGUGGUACGCGAGCUGGGUUUAGAACGUCGUGAGACAGUUCGGUCCCUA